CUCAAGCUAUCCGCACCACCCUCUCUUCCAUUUCAUGCGAAGAUUGUAGUCCCGCAGCCCUGCGACCAGCGGCCGGAAGCAGCUAAGAUGCUACUGCUCCCAGCAUGCCCCGCGAGGCGCGCACAGCACAGGCCCUCUCUCAAGGUCACCACCUCCACUCCCGUUGUAUGCUGGGAUUGUAGUCCGGCCGCCCUGUGACUAACGGCUGGAACCGCCUAAGACACCACCCCAGCCAGCAUGGCCGGCAGGAGCGCACCGCGCUGUCUCCCUCCAGGGAUCCGCACCGCCCUACAAUCCUGCUUUGUGCUGAGAUUGUAGUCCUGCAGGCGUACAACUAACAAGCUGGGUGCAGAUAAGAGACUACAGCUCCCCGCAUCCCAAGCAAAGGUCCCUCCUCUACGGAGCCCCUCCACGCGUCCACUGCGGUUCCGCCGUGCCAAGGGGAGCUUGGCUGUUCACGGGCCUCACCUGCUAGCGAGAAGAUAGCUUGGCCGGGCGGCUGAUCUCACCUUGUAAUUCUGACACUGUGUCUCCCGGGCUUGUCGGCUUCAUGACUUGUGCCCAAAGUUUGAUUUCUCGCAGACCAGGAGGACCCAUUGGACCCCCGGGCUGGCUGCAGGGCCCACACCUGGGUUAGACCUCGCACAGGGACGCUGCUGCCACUGUAAUAAAGCGUGCCUACACGCUUCUGAAACUGGUGUAGGAACAACCUCAGUUCUGUGAAAGGCGGACGCAGCAGGACAGAAUCUCCGUGGACAUCUGUCUGGAGGAGCAAUUUUACUGCGACAUUUUAAAGAAACAAAUUUAAUUGAUUUCCAAGGCUAGAGUGUGACAGAAAUCUAAAAGAUCAACUUCAUCGUGCAGGAAGGAGCAUAGAAAAAUAGAGAAAAGAAGAAAACAGCAAACCAUUCUGAGUACCGUGGAAACAAACUAAAAGUGGGCUUAGAAGGAAAACAGAGGAAGAAGGUCUGAGUAGUCCCAGGGACUCCAGAGGCCAAGAUGGGAAAGCCACCCAGGCGAGACAGGGGAGAUGGAAGCCACAGGGAAUCACUAUCACAUACCUCUGCUGGACCUGAAUGGUCCUGGCGCCAGCUAGAGCCAUCUGGUCGACCUUAGACAUGUCAAGGCAGGAGCCAUCUGAUCGACCUUAGACUUGGCAAGCUGGUGGCUAAGUCCAGUGCUCACUGCCGACAUCUGUCUCAAAAUAAACAAAAAGUCCAACAGUGAAUAUUUAACAAUAACAAAAAUAUAAUACCAAACAAUAUUAAAGACCAAUAAAUAAGUGGGAGUGAACAAAGGUAAAAGGUAACUAAUAUCACAAUUAAAAUAUUCUGCUAUCUCUCACUCUCUCUCUUCCCCUUUCCAUUUGUCACACCCAGGCUGGAAUGUGACAAAAAAAUAUAAAAGGUCAAUUUCAUCAUGCAGGAAUGAGUGUAGAAAAAGGGAGAAAAGAACAAAGAAGAAAAACAACAGCAAGUCUCUCUAAAACUUCAGUUAGUUUCACUGUAGAAAAAAAAAUUGAAAGUGGGGUUAGGAAAAAAAGGAAGGAGGAGGAUAAGUUCAGGUAGCCUGAGGGACUAGGGAAGCCAAGUGGGAAGACCACCUGGGUGACACUGGGAAGAUCGAGACCACAGUGAAUCAUGAUCACAUCCCUCUGCUGUACCUGAAUAGUACUUCCAAAGGCAGGAGCCAUCUGGUCAUCCUUAGUCAUGGCAAGGCGAGAGCCAUCUGGUUGACCUUAGAUAAGGUGAGAGCCAUCUGGUUGACCUUAGACUUGGCAAGCUGGCAGCUAAGUCCAAUCCUCUCAGCUGACAUCUUGGAGAGAGAGACAGACAGACAGACACAAACAGCGAGACAGGAGAAAAUCUUAAUUGUGUUAUUAAUUACUUUUCACCUUUGUUCACUCCAAACAGAAAAAAAUC
rnacentral:lncRNA from 1 species